UGGGGAAUUUUGGACAAUGGGCGAAAGCCUGAUCCAGCAAUGCCGCGUGUGUGAAGAAGGCCUUCGGGUUGUAAAGCACUUUUGUCCGGAAAGAAAUCCUUGGCUCUAAUACAGUCGGGGGAUGACGGUACCGGAAGAAUAAGCACCGGCUAACUACGUGCCAGCAGCCGCGGUAAUACGUAGGGUGCAAGCGUUAAUCGGAAUUACUGGGCGUAAAGCGUGCGCAGGCGGUUUGCUAAGACCGAUGUGAAAUCCCCGGGCUCAACCUGGGAACUGCAUUGGUGACUGGCAGGCUAGAGUAUGGCAGAGGGGGGUAGAAUUCCACGUGUAGCAGUGAAAUGCGUAGAGAUGUGAAGGAAUACCGAUGGCGAAGGCAGCCCCCUGGGCCAAUACUGACGCUCAUGCACGAAAGCGUGGGGAGCAAACAGGAUUAGAUACCCUGGUAGUCCACGCCCUAAACGAUGUCAACUAGUUGUUGGGGAUUCAUUUCCUUAGUAACGUAGCUAACGCGUGAAGUUGACCGCCU
rnacentral:rRNA from 1 species